CUCACCUUUACGCCACAGGAUCACACCAGCAUGCUCCAUCACCACACCAGUGAGGACGGUGCAUCUAUGGAGUGGGUGUACUGAGGAUUUCCCUACGUGUUCCUUUGGGUACGCUAGGUGUUCGUCAGGCACGCUUAGUCUUCUCAUGCCUGUAUAUGGUGGUGUCUGUCAGUCCUUAGCGUCUGACCGUGGUGGGGCUGGUUGUGUGUCACCAGCGAUGUGAGAGGCAGGCGGUGAUGGGCAGAUGUAUUGACGUACUCUUGUGAUUUGAGUGAUGAAGAAAACUGAGAAGAGAGACUUGCUUUGAUGUAUGCGAGAAGCAAGAAGACGGUAAUCACUAAAAGGUGCAUGAGGUGAGGAAUGUGUUGUUUCAUCAUCAUCAUCAUCAUCAUCAUCAGCAGCAGCAGCACGGUACAGUCAUCGCAUUCAUAACAUUGCUUUAUCUAAUCCAUUUGUUUUUAUUUAUGGA